CCUGAAUAAGGACAUGACACGGAGCAGUGACCCUGCUGACCUGUGAUGAACAUGUACCCACGAGCAAAUUCCUCUUCUAUACCGGGUGCAGUCAUCUUUAGCUUGUCAGUUAUUGUCACAACUUGUUGGGAAGAUCAUCAGCUUAGCCACAUAGUUGCCUAAAUAUUUGAGCAGAAACCCCAGCCCUUCUGCAGGGUCUCACAUGAACAUCCUACCAGAUGUGGGGAUAUCAAGGUUGUAGAUGAAGUACCUGGCAAGCAUGUCAGAAUUCUGAGCUGCCACUGGAUGAGAAACUUCCAUGUCAGAGAAUCCUUUUUCCUUCCUACAUGGAGAGGUGGUGAGUUG